AAGAAAAACGACCAUGAUAAUCACAUUUUGCAUAAAGAAAUAUAAUUUGAAUUAAUAGAUAUUAACAGUGGCUCAUACAAAUCCAAAUCGUGUACAAAUCUAACAAUUAUUUAUAAGAUUAAAGUUUUUUUAAAGACAGUUACAUUGACAGACGAAGUUUUCAAUUCAUAGCUAAUAAACUAAUAUUAUAAUGUAUUAAUUGUGACGGUCUUCAGGCGGGGUUCUAGGAUUUAUAAAAAAACUGUAUAGCCAAAUGCAAGAAUAUGGUGGUGAUAAAACUAUUGACCAUCGCGAAGGCACUGAGGGUAGGGACAGAGGGCAAGAAAGCCUGCAUGGAAAGCAUUCUUAUACCGUGAUACAGAAACACUAUGGUUCAAAGGAAGGUGACAAAACAAGCUAUGGCAGAGUAACGACUGGGGGCUAUGACUCUUCUAACCAACAGUGUCAAAACACUAG